rnacentral:pre_miRNA from 1 species
UCUGUGGUGGCGGGAUAGAGGAGAUGGGUGACAUACAAGCCAACCCCCCCUUCCUCUGGAAAAAUCAGAUCAGA